ACGUUAAAAAACGUAAUGCACACAUUAGAAUACGUUAAAUCCAAAGGUGUGCUCGUCCGAUUUCACGGUAGAGGUAAAAACGAAGCAUCUCAUUACUGCGGACAAUGUGAGAUUGAAGUUUUCAACAUCCUCUUCAUAAGGGAACAGGAGAAAAGGCAUGUAGUCCACUGUAUGACAUGUGCUAGGAAACAAUCACCAAAUUUACAAGGAAUAGUAUGUUUGGAAGAAUAUCG